GACGAACGCUGGCGGCGUGCUUAACACAUGCAAGUCGAACGCUGAAGCUUGGUGCUUGCACUGGGUGGAUGAGUGGCGAACGGGUGAGUAAUACGUGAGUAACCUGCCCUUGACUCUGGGAUAAGCCUGGGAAACUGGGUCUAAUACUGGAUACGACAUGUCACCGCAUGGUGGUGUGUGGAAAGGGUUUUACUGGUUUUGGAUGGGCUCACGGCCUAUCAGCUUGUUGGUGGGGUAAUGGCUCACCAAGGCGACGACGGGUAGCCGGCCUGAGAGGGUGACCGGCCACACUGGGACUGAGACACGGCCCAGACUCCUACGGGAGGCAGCAGUGGGGAAUAUUGCACAAUGGGCGGAAGCCUGAUGCAGCGAUGCCGCGUGAGGGAUGACGGCCUUCGGGUUGUAAACCUCUUUCAGCACGGAAGAAGCGAAAGUGACGGUACGUGCAGAAGAAGCGCCGGCUAACUACGUG
rnacentral:rRNA from 1 species